AACCCGAGCCCUAACCGGCGCCGACCCGACGGUUCCCUCCUCUCCCGAGCUUUUUCCCUCUCCCUCUCACGGCGUGGAGCGCCUCUCUUCACUGCCCAUCUCCACUGCCGCCAGCCGACGUGGAUCACCGAUCCUAGUGCCCUAGCCGAGCCCUGCCGACGCCGUGCCCUAGCUUGAAGACGACGACUACGGGUUGAUCUCUCCGGCGAUCAUUUUUGGUUGUUGUCCUUGCUAUUUCCUAGCGCCGGCAGCCGGCGCACCAGGUGCCCUAGCACCCUCUGUGUAUCACAGCGACGCCACCUUUUGCCCUAGCAGUGAUCCUUAAGAGCUUGGAUAUUCUUCUCUGUUCUUGGUCAUCCCUUCCUUGAGGUGCAUUUAGGUCACGGUUGAGGAACAAUGAACUCUUUCUUCACAAGCCACAGGGGAGUGUUUUGCCGCCCCUCUCCGAUCUCCCUUGCGCCAACACUGUGCCCUAGUUCAUCACUGCCGGCCCACUCUGCAUUUGAUUCCUUGUUGUGCUGCCAUCACCGGACAAGAGGAGGUUAGUGCAAGUGGAUUUCCAGCCACUCACCUUGUUCCAGCAGCAAACACACUUCUUGA